AACGCACGAGACCUGCGGACCUGCGGAGGGAUCAUUAACGAAUAACUAUGGUGUUGGUUGUAGCUGGCUCCUCGGAGCAAUGUGCACGCCCGCCAUUUUUAUCUUUCCACCUGUGCACCGACUGUAGGUCUGGAUACCUCUCGCCUCCGGGCGGAUGCGAGGGUUGCUCGAAAGGGCUUCCCUUGAACUUCCAGGCUCUACGUCUUUUUACACACCCCAAUAGUAUGAUGCAGAAUGUAG
rnacentral:misc_RNA from 1 species